UGGGGAAUAUUGGACAAUGGGCGCAAGCCUGAUCCAGCCAUGCCGCGUGGGUGAAGAAGGCCUUCGGGUUGUAAAGCCCUUUUGUUGGGAAAGAAAAGCAGCCGGUUAAUACCCGGUUGUCAUGACGGUACCCAAAGAAUAAGCACCGGCUAACUUCGUGCCAGCAGCCGCGGUAAUACGAAGGGUGCAAGCGUUACUCGGAAUUACUGGGCGUAAAGCGUGCGUAGGUGGUUUGUUAAGUCUGAUGUGAAAGCCCUGGGCUCAACCUGGGAAUUGCAUUGGAUACUGGCAGGCUAGAGUGCGGUAGAGGAUGGCGGAAUUCCCGGUGUAGCAGUGAAAUGCGUAGAGAUCGGGAGGAACAUCUGUGGCGAAGGCGGCCAUCUGGACCAGCACUGACACUGAGGCACGAAAGCGUGGGGAGCAAACA
rnacentral:rRNA from 1 species